UGAGUCGGCCAGACGAUCGCUCGGCAGUUCGCUGCAGGGAGGAAAGUCCGGGCUCCGCAGGGCAAGGCGCCAGGUAACUCCUGGGAGGUGCGAGCCUACGGAAAGUGCAACAGAAAAUACACCGCCUACGUAGCGCAAGCUGCCGGUAAGGUUGAAAUGGUGCGGUAAGAGCGCACCGCGCGACUGGCAACAGUUCGUGGCAUGGUAAACCCCGCCUGGAGCAAGGCCAAAUAGGAAUCCAAUGCUGUGGCCCACAGUGGAUUCGGGUAGGCUGCUAGAGGUCUGCGGUGACGCAGAUCCCAGAUGAAUGGUCGUCCAAGACAGAACCCGGCUUAUCGGCCGACUCACUUU
rfam:gamma proteobacterium BDW918 genomic scaffold scaffold00017, whole genome shotgun sequence.